rnacentral:rRNA from 1 species
AGCAGCCGCCGCGGUAAUACGAAGGGUGCAAGCGUUACUCGGAAUUACUGGGCGUAAAGCGUGCGUAGGUGGUGGUUUAAGUCCGUUGUGAAAGCCCUGGGCUCAACCUGGGAAUUGCAGUGGAUACUGGAUCACUAGAAUGUGGUAGAGGAUAGUGGAAUUUCCGGUGUAGCAGUGAAAUGCGUAGAGAUCGGAAGGAACAUCUGUGGCGAAGGCGACUAUCUGGGCCAACACUGACACUGAGGCACGAAAGCGUGGGGAGCAAACAGGAUUAGAUACCCCCGUAGUCCCUGUCUCUUAUCC